AUACGGAAGGUCCGGGCGUUAUCCGGAUUUAUUGGGUUUAAAGGGAGCGCAGGCGGAGAUGCAAGCGUGACGUCAAAUUUCGGGGCUCAACCCCGUCUCGCGUCGCGAACUGCGUCCCUUGGUUGCGGGAAGGGGAGGCGGAACUCGUGGUGUAGCGGUGAAAUGCGUAGAUAUGCCACAGAACGCCGAUAGCGGAGGCAGCUCGCCAGGCCUGCAUUGACGCUCGGGCACGAAAGCGUGGGGAUCGAACAGGAUUAGAUACCCUGGUAGUCCACGCCGUAAACGAUGGGCGCUCGUCGUCGGCGGCAGACAGUCGGCGGCCAAGCGAAAGCGAUAAGCGCCCCACCUGGGGAGUACGGUCGCAAGGCUGAAACUCAAAUGAAUUGACGGGG
rnacentral:rRNA from 1 species